rnacentral:lncRNA from 1 species
GGGACUGAGAGAAGACGGCGGGGCUGCCGCUGAGUUCGGCUUGAGGAAGAAAACGGAGAGGAGACCUGGCUCGGUCUGUGAUGGAGGCCGAAACUGCCGGCGAUAGGGGAGAGUAAAGGGGCUGGUCUUCGGAUGUGGUGGUCGGCUGCUGUGGGAAGGAGAUGGGUCGAUGGAGGCAGGUUCAGGAGCUGCGAAGAGCAGAGGGAGCAGCUGAGAGGGAGGAUCUGUGGAAGGGGGAGCUGAUUCGUGGCUGUUGUUGGUCUAUGGCCGGGAGAGGGAAGGUCUGAAAAAUGGGGGAAGAUGAGAGGCGAUCUGCUGAGAGGAAAGGAGAAGAGGCAGUGUUGAGGGGGGCUGCUCCGGUCUAUGGGGAAGGAGCUGUGAGGAGAAGAUAAAAAACCAAAGGGGGGUGGGGGGCUGGCCCGACGGCGGCUUGGAGAAGAGAUAGAUUUAGGGUUUUGUUUUUGUGUUGUCUCUUCCUUCAAAUCAAAAUUUCCCCCCCGAAAAAAAUCAGUGUAGCUUGGUAUUUAUAGGAAAAGUUUUACUAGGUUUUCAAACUAGUCCCUCAACUUUUCCUUUCCUUCUCUUUUCCUCUUUUUUUUGUAAAUUUUGAUUUUUCUUAUUUUUUUUGUAUUUUUGAAAGCGAGCAAAUAUCAACAUCGACUCAAUGCGGGAAAUCAAUGAUUUUAAAAAUGAC